CAAUGUCACCAAGUGAUCAGAUAUAUUGGUUAUAUAAAAGUAUUCAUAUUCAUGGAAGGGACAUCCAAAAAAAUGAGAACAGAAGUUGAAGCUGAGAAUGUCAGACCACCAAAAAAUACAUUCUCUCCGUUUAACUUCCAGGAUUUAACCAUUGAAAUUGGCAAUGAAAAGAUUUUUGUCAACAAAGACAAUUUAAUGGAGGCGUCACCAGUUUUCCAGAAAAUGCUUACUGGAAACUUAAAGGAAAAAGACGCACAUCACAUUAAACUUCCAGAUAAAGACCCAACGACGUUUGCUAUUUUUCUAAGACACACAUUACCUGGUUUUGAUGGAUUAGAAUUGCAAGAAGCGACAGCUCACCCUAUUUAACCAUUGGCGCAUGAGUAUCAGACUAACACAACUCUAUCAAAAAUAGACCUAGUAUUGGCUGCAUGUGUGGAACAAAGGGAAUAUAAAUGUGACAAAAAGUUAAGUGAUGAAAUUUUGACUGCUGAAUUCUACAAUCUGCAACAAUAUGUAACAGCAUGCAUUGAAAAGUCAUCAGUAUUCUCCCAUAAAGCGUUGAUAAAAAACCCAGUUUCAUGAUAAUUCUGGUGAUAAAAAAUCUGAGAUAUUCUUGAAUCUGUGUAAACAAAUGGAAGUACGGAGUGACCAAUGCGUUCAGGAGAUGGAAGUACGGAUUGACCAAUUCAUUCAGGAGAUGGAAGUAAAUGCAAAACCUAGUUGUGGGUAUUGUAAUAGUAGCAGAAAGUUUGUUGAAGCUAGCAAUAAACUCAAAUUAAUUAGAAAAGCUAGCGGUCCCCGAUUCUGGUUAUUAAAGUGAUUUAAGCUGAUAUGAAAAAAGAUUUUACAAUACUUUUUAUCAUUGACACUACAAUUAAACACGCAAACGAAAUGAAAAAGCAAAUACAUGUAAAGUAUUUUAGAGUUAAGAAUAGGAGUGUUGCUUGAUAAGCAUAAGAUUCCAUGUCUUAUAUUACUAGUCGAUUUUUAAAAAAUCGUUUCAUAUGCUAGAAUUACAAUAUAUUCCAAUAACAACUAUAUUCCAGAAAAUUUUUGAAUGCAAAUGUUUAUUUGGUGUUAUUAAUUCUUAUAAUUUCAAAUUAUUGUAUUCUUCAUUCAAAAUAUUACAUUAACUAUGUAAAGAUCACACACUUUUAACCUUUCUUAAGAUCACACAAUUAAACCCCCAAAAAAGAUCUUUUUACAAAAAUGUUUAUUAUCCAUAGAAAAACAGGUGAUGUAAAUAAAACAUACUGAAUGUGUUUGGCAUGAUUCAACCACAAGGUUCAAAACAAUAGGUUGAAUGGUACUGCUAAAUAAAAUUCUACCGUCAGGUCAAAUAGAAAAAUUCUGAUUCGUACUUUGCGGUACUGAUUUUGGAUAUAGCUGUUUUAAAAUGCUACAUGCAUUGCAUAUUACUUUAUAGCAAAGUUAUUCUAAGAAUAUUUAGUUUUUGUUUAUAAUAUAUUGUAUGAACGACUGAAUGAAUGGAUUAAUCUCACGAGCUUUAAUUAAAACAAUUACCAGUAAAAAAGUUAUGUUGAAUAGACUUGAAUAAUUCUAAUAAAUCUUUGUUUUUCUUGAAAGACGUAAUUUGACAAAUAUAAUUAUGGAUUGGUUUUAUCGGUGUUUUUUUUUCGAACAAUAAUAAUUUGCUAAACAAUAUUUUGAUAUUCAAUGCAAAUCAAGACAUAUCUAAGUGAUAUUUGUUACGGUCUCGUUCGACUCACCAAUGUGUCAUUUUUUUAAGAUUCAUGCCACUUUAUUGUCAUAAUCUGCAAGAAUUGACUCCAACACCCGCACUCAUAUUAAACAUUUAAUAAAUAAAACACAUGUAGUAAACGAAAAUAGCAUGUAUAAAUUGUGUGCGUCUGAGGCUCUUUUCUGAAUGUAUCUUCUUCUGGAACGCUCUUAACUACACAUCCGAAUGUCUCUUUGGUAUCUUUUGCCUUUAUUUGAAAGCUACAAAACUGCUA